ACGUGUAGGCGGUUGGGCAAGUCAGAUGUGAAAGCCUUCCGCUCAUCGGAAGAAGGGCAUUUGAAACUACCUGGCUAGAGUACGGGAGAGGAGAGUGGAAUUCCCGGUGUAGAGGUGAAAUUCGUAGAUAUCGGGAGGAACACCAGUGGCGAAGGCGGCUCUCUGGUCCGAUACUGACGCUGAGACGCGAAAGCGUGGGGAGCAAACAGGAUUAGAUACCCUGGUAGUCCACGCCGUAAACGAUGGGCACUAGGUGUAGGAGGUAUUGACCCCUUCUGUGCCGAAGCUAACGCAUUAGUCGCCCCGCUGAGGAGUACGGCCGCAAGGCUAAA
rnacentral:rRNA from 1 species